rnacentral:lncRNA from 1 species
GGGAAGGCUCAGAAGCUCCAAGGUUUCAUUGACACAGCCUGGAGACCCAGCUCUGUCACUCAACUCUACAUAGCCUUCACCCAGAGCCUGACAGUGUAUAUGAACAAGAGGCUGUGCCUGGUGAGUGCUUCUGCCACUUUCUCCAGGAUGACAGCUGUGGACUCCUGCCACAUCCAACACCCCCUUGCUGCUCCCCACCGCCCUCCUUGGCACCCAGGUGGCUGAUCUCCUAUGGUCUUGCUGGCUUCUCUACCUUGUAUGCUGAGGGCGGGCCCAGCCUGCCCCAGCUCAGGGUCUGCACAUAGUAGGUGCUUGCAUGUUGCCUGCUAAACUGACAGCCCUGUAACCAUGUCAGCACAAAGCAACCAGCAUUUUGGGUGCAUCUGCAGUUAAAAUAAACCACUGAGGUCAUGGGUCUGUUCUCUCUGCAAAAACAAAAAUACCCCACUAGCCAUAUCUGAUGAGAACCAUAGCAAAAGAUCAGAAUGUAAUGGCUUCAUCCAGAAGCAAAGCAUGAGGUUCCAAACCAUGUCCCUGACCUGAAGGGGCACCUGCCCAGGCCCAGGGGUGCCAACUCCUAGAGGCAGCUGGCAUGUGACUACUGUGCCCAGUAGAGAAAGGCAGACACUCAGUCCCCAGAGCCCAGAGCCCCG